rnacentral:rRNA from 1 species
UACGUAGGGCGCAAGCGUUGUCCGGAAUUACUGGGCGUAAAGCGCGCGUAGGCGGCUUUGUAAGUUAGAGGUGAAAGCCCGGAGCUCAACUCCGGAACUGCCUUUAAAACUGCAUCGCUUGAAUCCAGGAGAGGUGAGUGGAAUUCCGAGUGUAGAGGUGAAAUUCGUAGAUAUUCGGAAGAACACCAGUGGCGAAGGCGGCUCACUGGACUGGUAUUGACGCUGAGGUGCGAAAGCGUGGGGAGCAAACAGG